AGUUCUUCAGUGGCACGCUUUA
rnacentral:miRNA from 1 species